UCUCUUCUCAAUUAGGUUUUCUCACUAAUCUUAAGUGAGGAGACUUGUCGACGUGUGAUGAUCGCCUCCACUACUGAUACAGCCCAUUCUAUGAUGGUCGCUCAAUCACAAUCACAGUUUCAUGAUAAAAAUGAUUGAGAUAUGCGGAUAUACUCCUAUUGCAACAAAUCGGAGCACAUCUAUAUACAUGCUAGCAGUUACAUGAUCGUCCUC
rnacentral:lncRNA from 1 species